rnacentral:rRNA from 1 species
UGGGGAAUUUUGGACAAUGGGGGCAACCCUGAUCCAGCCAUUCCGCGUGAGUGAAGAAGGCCUUCGGGUUGUAAAGCUCUUUCGGCAGGAACGAAACGGUGCGGGCUAAUACCCUGUAUCAAUGACGGUACCUGAAGAAGAAGCACCGGCUAACUAC